GACGAACGCUGGCGGCGUGCUUCAUACAUGCAAGUCGAACGAGAAGCUGACUUCGGUCAGUGGACAGUGGCGGACGGGUGCGUAAUAUGUAGGAAAUCUGCCUUUAGGGGGGGGACAACAGAGGGAAACUUCUGCUAAUACCCCAUAUGAGCGUAGCUGAAAUGCUAUUCUUGAAAACUCCGGUGCCUAAAGAUGAGCCUGCAUCUGAUUAGCUAGUUGGUAGUGUAAUGGACUACCAAGGCGACGAUCAGUAGCUGGUUUGAGAGGAUGAUCAGCCACAAUGGGACUGAGACACGGCCCAUACUCCUACGGGAGGCAGCAGUAGGGAAGUUUGCGCAAUGGGCGAAAGCCUGACGCAGCAACGCCGCGUGAACGAUUAAGCCCUUCGGGGUGUAAAGUUCUGUCAGUGGGGACGAAACUUGACGGUACCCACAGAGGAAGCACCGGCUAACUCCGUG
rnacentral:rRNA from 1 species